ACAAUGGAAGAACACAAUAUAACUCAAAUAAUGUGUAUGAGCCAUGUAGCCACAUAAAGGCCUUAAUUCAUGAAUGGCAGAAACAUCAGCAUAUGGAAGCUGUCAGAUCGAUAUAUGAGUACAUCGUGACGCACCAAAACAGUCACCAAGGACAUUUUGGCCAC